rnacentral:rRNA from 1 species
AUGGUGCAACCCAAGAAGAAGUUUCGUGGAGUCAGGCAGCGCCACUGGGGCUCCUGGGUCUCUGAGAUCAGACACCCCCUCCUUAAAAGAAGGGUGUGGCUUGGUACCUUCGAAACCGCUGAAGAGGCUGCACGGGCCUACGACGAGGCCGCCGUUCUGAUGAGCGGCCGCAAUGCCAAGACCAACUUCCCCGUGCAGAGGAGCAGCACCGGCGAUCCUGCCCCAGCUGCAACCCGGGACGUUCGUGGCGGCAGCUCCUCCUCCUCUACGAGCAACCUGUCCCAGGUUCUCAGUGCCAAGCUUCGCAAGUGCUGCAAGGCGCCGUCUCCGUCCCUCACCUGCCUUCGCCUUGACACCGAGAAGUCCCACAUUGGCGUCUGGCAGAAGCGUGCAGGGGCCCGCGCCGACUCCAACUGGGUCAUGACCGUGGAGCUCAACAAAGGGGCCGGGCCAUCCGGCGAUGCGGUGGCAGCGCAGUCCACAGUGUCAGCAACCACGGCUUCUUCACCGGCGAGUACAAUGGAUGACGAGGAGAGGCUCACGCUGCAGAUGAUCGAGGAGCUGCUGAGCAGUAGCGGUCCAGCUUCGCCAUCGCAUGGAGAAGAAGGUAGCUUCGUCGUCUGA